AGCAGUGUAACUCAAUGGUAUAGUACCUGUCUAGCAUGCACGAGGCCCUAGGUUCGAUCUCUAGUACUGCCA
rnacentral:tRNA from 1 species